rnacentral:rRNA from 1 species
UACGGGGGGGGCAAGCGUUGUUCGGAAUUACUGGGCGUAAAGGGUGCGUAGGCGGCGCGGUAAGUAGGGUGUGAAAUCCCUCGGCUCAACCGAGGAACUGCGCUCUAAACUACCGUGCUCGAGGGAGAUAGAGGUGAGCGGAACUUAGGGUGGAGCGGUGAAAUGCGUUGAUAUCCUAAGGAACACCGGUGGCGAAAGCGGCUCACUGGAUCUCUUCUGACGCUGAGGCACGAAAGCUAGGGUAGCGAACGGG